rnacentral:sRNA from 2 species
CAACAACUGAAAGGAGGUGGUCUGAUGUCUCAUUGUCCCAAGCCGGUGAGCGUCGCCUCCGCCGAGGUGCUUGCUUAAGCGUCAGGCCGCCUACCGGCUCGACAAUGGAAAGGCCGUCCGGGUUUUCACCCGGGCGGCCUU